CCUGGAGGAGGCGGGGGUUGGAGUCCCGCCUACCCACUGGCACAAGCCAAGGGCUCAAACGCCCCCAACCCAGCCCGCAGAUCUCCUCGAAGCACCCGGUUCUCCUGGCCCGCCCAGUCCCACGGCGCUCGCCGCCUUCGCCCGCUUAGGACUGAGUCCGCAGCGCCGCCGCCUGGCGAGGGGCGGAGUUGCCACCACGUCUGCGCAGGCGGGAUGCAGCCUGGCCCGCGGCAUCCCGGGAGUUGUAGUCUCGACGCUUCGGGGCCGCCCCAGGGUCUGGUGGUCCCUGACGACGCGCAGUGAGGGUCCCGCCGCUCCCCCAGCAGUCGCCUCUCAAGUUCGCGGAACGCAGCUGACCGGCUCCCUCUGGACUGGGUGACACGACUGCUUCCAAGCAGUCGUUUGUAAACUGAGUUUCUGUAAAACAAUUUUAUUUUUCAUGUGUGACUGUAGCGGGGUAUGAUUUGAACUUUGUUUUCCGUCCCCCAGCCCGGAUUCUCUGUCUUCUCCUGUACAGCCGUUCCGUUUUCUUACCUUCUUACCUCGUCUCCGUCACCGAGGCCCUCAGCCCUGAACACAAGGACUGGGCAGUUUCCCUAUUGAUUCCUGAACCUGGAACUUAAGACAUCUUCCGAGGGCCCCCCUCGUCACACCCUCUAGCUGAUCGACUCACAAAUACCUGUGAUUUCUCUCCCCGUCUCCACCUCCAGUCACGAGUUCUGACUAAUUCUGUGGGGGAAAGACCAACAGACAGGAGCCAGCUGAAGAUGCUGAACCUCUGAUGUCUUCACUUAUUGCCCAAUUCCUCCUUGAGCCACCCUCCUCUGACUUAAAUGUACUGUCAUGCCAUUUGGCCUAAGCUAUUUCUACUUAAUGUGUGAGUUAAUCAGAUCCCUUGUCUAGCUUAUAAAUUUCUAGAAUCAUAUAGCCAAAAGGAGGCUGACAGAUCUGGCCCAAAGUUACACCCACUGCAGGAACUGCCCUAUGAUUUCUUCUUGAACACUUCCAGAAGCUGAACCUCUCCUUGGAGGACCUCACUACCUUUCCAAGGACUCUCUUCCAAUCUUUCUGAUUGAUAGAACUUUUAAAAUUUGGAACCAAAGUCGGCUUCCUUGUUACUUGUCUCACUGGUUCUGUCGAUACUGGUCUGACAGCCCUGGAGGAAUUGGGAACCAGUCCUUACAAAUAACCUAGGUCUUUUUUUUUUUUUUUUUGAGACAGAGUUUCACUCUUGUUGCCCAGGCUGGAGUACAGCGGUGUGAUCUUGGCUCACUUCAACCUCCACCCCAACCCUGGUUUCAAGCGAUUCUCCUGCCUCAGCCUCCAGAGUAGUUGGGACUACAGGCACUCGCCACCAUGCCUGGCUAAUUUUUUGUAUUUUUAGUAGAGAUGGGGUUUCACCAUGUUGGCCAGGAUGGUCUCAAACUCCUGACCUCAUGAUCCACCCACCUUGGCCUCCCAAAGUGUUGGGAUUACAGGCAUGAGCCACCAUGCCUGGCCUUUCUUUCUUUUUUUUUUUUUCCUUUUCAGGAGAAGCU